UUCAGGGGUAAACCUGAGAAACCCAAAAGAUCGAAUGAGGAGAUUCAUCGUCAGCUCAUUUUGUAUAUGUACAAGUUAUGAUGUGNNAGUUACUCUUNNGUAGUAUUGCUNUGUACGUACUUGUGCAUUUAUUUGCAAGAUGUUGUCGGCGUGCACUUCUCCUCUAGUAGGACGUCGCGACCCGUUGGGUGUCGGUCUACGACCCGAGNUGGGAGACUUUAAUAUUNNUUANNUAAUAUUAAAGACCCUUGGUGUUNUUCUGACCGACUGCCCGGCGGUACUCGUACGGUAUUUAGCCGCAUNUUNANNNUUUGCGUCCAUGUCCAUCGCAAGCGAGGCUAAUUUCUGGUAGUNGCGGACCUAGUGCCGUCGCUGGAGUUGGCCAGCUGU
rnacentral:rRNA from 1 species